rnacentral:rRNA from 1 species
UACGGAGGGUGCAAGCGUUGUCCGGAUUUAUUGGGUUUAAAGGGUGCGUAGGCGGUUCUUUUAAGUCUGGGGUGAAAGCCCGUUGCUCAACAACGGAACUGCCCUGGAAACUGGAGGACUUGAGUACAGACGAGGGUGGCGGAAUGGAUGCUGUAGCGGUGAAAUGCAUAGAUAGCAUCCAGAACCCCGAUUGCGAAGCAGCUGCCUAGACUGUAACUGACGUGAGGCACGAAAGCGUGGGGAGCGAACAGG